CCCCGGCCCCCCCCCGAGGGUCCCCCCCCAGCCCUGGAAGCUGCGCCCCCCCCUCGCCCUCCGGAGCCGCCCUCCCCCGAGGGGCCCAAGGGGGACGGGGGCAGCCCCGAACCCCCCCCCGCACCCCCCCCGGACCCCCCCCAGCUGCAGGGAGAGGAGGAGGAGGAGGAGGAAGAGCCCCCGCCCCCCCCGGGCAAGGGAGAGGCCCCCGACCCCACGGCCUCCAUGCUGGCUGACUUCAUCGACUGCCCCCCCGACGCCGCCCCGUGACCCCGCCGGGACCCCCCCCAACCUCAGAGCCCCCCCAGAGCCCCUCCCCUGCCCCUCACCAGACCCCGACCCCCCCAGAACAAAAUAAAGUUUCUAGAACCUUC